UGGGGUUUCAAUAGGCAUUUACCCGACAUUUAACGAGAGGCAAUGCCCUUAGAAAUCCCAUG
rnacentral:pre_miRNA from 1 species